rnacentral:rRNA from 1 species
UCAGUUAUCGUUUAUUUGAUAGUACCUUUCUACUUGGAUACCUGUGGUAAUUCUAGAGCUAAUACAUGCUAAAAACCUCAACUUCGGAAGGGGUGUAUUUAUUAGAUAAAAAACCAAUGCCCUUCGGGGCUCCUUGGUGAUUCAUAAUAACUUAACGAAUCGCAUGGCCUUGCGCCGGCGAUGGUUCAUUCAAAUUUCUGCCCUAUCAACUUUCGAUGGUAGGAUAGUGGCCUACCAUGGUUUCUACGGGUGAAAUAUUUCGUUGCCCGUGGGCUCGAUCGUCGAGGGGGCUUUUGGGCUUCCCUCGGCAACACCGCUGGCUCCGAAUACGCCCUGUAAGGGCCGACUCGGGGGCGAGUUCCUGUCCGGAGCCGCCCGAACGCAUGCCAAGCGGUGGGCUUCGCACGAAUCGAGGCUUUCGGCACAUGCUACCGCCCGGCCUCCGCGCCGGGUAGGAAAAAUGAACGGGGAAUUAGGGGUUCUAUUCCGGAGAGGGAGCCUGAGAAACGGCUACCACAUCCAAGGAAGGCAGCAGGCGCGCAAAUUACCCAAUCCCGACACGGGGAGGUAGUGACAAUAAAUACUGAUACAGGGCUCUUUUGGGUCUUGUAAUUGGAAUGAGUACAAUUUAAAUCCCUUAACGAGGAACAAUUGGAGGGCAAGUCUGGUGCCAGCAGCCGCGGUAAUUCCAGCUCCAAUAGCGUAUAUUAAAGUUGUUGCAGUUAAAAAGCUCGUAGUUGAAACUCGGCCUUGGCUGACCGGUCCGCCUCACCGCGUGCACUGGUUCGGCCGGGGCUUUCCUUCUGGGGAUCCGCAUGGCCUUCAUUGGUUGUGUUGGGGAACCAGGACUUUUACUUUGAAAAAUUAGAGUGUUCAAAGCAGGCCUAUGCUCGAAUACAUUAGCAUGGAAUAUA